AUUGAACGCUGGCGGCAUGCCUUACACAUGCAAGUCGAACGGUAACAGGUCUUCGGAUGCUGACGAGUGGCGAACGGGUGAGUAAUACAUCGGAACGUGCCUAGUAGUGGGGGAUAACUACUCGGAAGAGUGGCUAAUACCGCAUGAGAUCUACGGAUGAAAGCAGGGGAUCGCAAGACCUUGUGCUACUAGAGCGGCCGAUGGCAGAUUAGGUAGUUGGUGGGAUAAAAGCUUACCAAGCCGACGAUCUGUAGCUGGUCUGGGAGGACGAUCAGCCACACUGGGACUGAGACACGGCCCAGACUCCUACGGGAGGCAGCAGUGGGGAAUUUUGGACAAUGGGCGCAAGCCUGAUCCAGCAAUGCCGCGUGCAGGAUGAAGGCCUUCGGGUUGUAAACUGCUUUUGUACGGAACGAAAAGCCCUGGGUUAAUACCCUGGGGUCAUGACGGUACCGUAAGAAUAAGCACCGGCUAACUACGUGCCAGCCGCCGCAGUAACAC
rnacentral:rRNA from 1 species